AUAAAUUUCCGAAAAGGUGCGACGUAGCGUUAAGAAGACAUUUAUGUGCAAAGGAUAUGGUCUUAUCAUCUAAAGAAGAUAUUUAUGUGCAAGUGGCACCCGAUGUAACAAGAACAGUGAACAAAAGGAGGAGAUUAACCGAUAGAAGCAAUCCCCUCAUCACUUCUCCCACACCGUUUGGCAAGUUCACGACUGAUGGCUUCUUUGGAGGGAGGGGUUGAUUGCAGAGUCGGCUGGGAAUAGAUUCUUACAACUUUUCUUUUGCCCAAGUCUUAUCACCAUCAAGAGUCAUACCACCAGCAACUAGACGUUUUGGUACAACAGGCACUGUCAAAUUGCUUUCAAGGGGUAGCGAUUAAUUAGUCUCCCAUUGUAAUGACCAACAAAUGGCCAUAAUAUAGUUUUGGAUUCUUUAAGAUAACCCGCUGUAAUUCUUUGAUCAGUUUUUGAAAUAAUUUGUAAUUCAAGAAACAAUUUUUGAAACUUCAUAUGAAUGAGUUCAAAAUGCCAGAUCUGAUUUUUUUAUA